rnacentral:lncRNA from 14 species
CAGAGAUCCAGUACCAUUAACAACAAAGAGAAGAUACCUCUUGGAGCUAUGCCAUCAGUAUCCAUGAGAUUCUGUAUGCCUAUUACUGAUUCAAAAAUGGAGGUUUCACUCGGAAGAACAACAUCAGCACCUGUAACUGGUUGCACCAUUUCAGAACGUAACACAGUUUCUAAAGUAGGACCACGUUUUGACCAAGGGCAGCAUGAAUUAACUGGGACUCCAGUUACAGACCCAAAGAAUACUGCCUCUAAACGACCUUAUUCACCCACCUCAACAGGAGAUGAACGCCCCAAAAAAAUAACUGAUGGAGAAAAGCAAGCUGGACAGGACUCGGCAUUCAAUGAUUGUGGCAACCCAGAAGAUGUCAUGAGAGCUACAGGAAAUGUAAUUUUCAAAUGUUUUUUUACUCAGACUGGAAAGUUGA